CGGUCACACUUUCGCUGAAUAUUCAAAUUUACGUCGCAAUUUGUUUGUUUACUAACAAAAAAUUUGUAAUAAUAAAUGAUCUGUUCUGUGCGCGAGUAUACACCAUUAUCAUUCAGGCUCAGCUUGUUGUAUGUUGUAUGUUGUAUCGGCGUCCAUACGGGACUCAUCAGGUGGAAUGGAACAGGCCGCCGACGCCGGGCGUUUGGCCAUGUCGAUGCAGGAGCUGGCUUUUGACCUGGAUGUUUUCCUCGCACGACACAGAAGAAAGAAGACGUGGAUCUCAAUGUGGAGCGCACCUGCAGACCUGGAAUUCAGCACGGCACCAAAAUGCCCCUUCUGGAUGUUAAACAAAACGUGAGAGAUCUCAACUACAAAAAAAGACUCCAAGAAGCACUGAACCCAAAGUUCUUACUUUCCGCGAUAAGUUUGUUUUCGACAAGAUGAAGGCUGCUACCAUGGGGACUGGAGCAAGAAGGUUCCCCUUGACGUGGCUUGUUCGGUGGACGAAGUCUCCUGCCUUGCCAACGAUCAAAAUCAUAUUACAAGCAUCUACAAUCACUUAUAUAGAUAGCGCUUAAGCUGAAUCACCUGCUAAAGCUGGAGACAGCGGACAUUACCGCUAAAGAAGGGUUGCUGGACUGCUGUGACCAAAUUCUGACCUCCAGAUUCUUGCGUUUGACAAAAACAAACAGAAAACUGUCCUGCGACGUGACGACAUUGGUUAGGUCGUCAUACAAGACGGCACCAAGAUCUUCUUCCAGGAAGGCCUGCAACGUGUGUUGCUCUUGAUCCAAGUCUGGUCGAUAGUCAAACGUACUGCCUCCGCAGAGCAUCGAUCUAUGCAUUCAUUGCAAUGGUCUGUCUCCAGCUCUAGCAUCAUUUGGGAGUCGAAGAAGGAGGGCAAAAAGCGCUUUAAGGAGAUGACCGUACACGACACCGACGCUCUGAAGGCCGAGUAUCUGGUACACAAAGGCUUUAACGAUAUCCUUUAAUCAGGUCAGCAAUCCGAUCGAUUUUAACCGAAUGUUACUAAACUAGUCCAUUAAUCGAAGUCAUCGCCAUUCCAUAAUCUGCUGCGUAUAAAAAUAAAUCGUGUCCAGGUGCACAGACCAAAGUCUACAAAGUCUUGUGCUGCUUUUAGAGUCAUUACUUGGUCGCCUUCUCUAUUUGAUUGAUUUGGGCUAAUGACUGGGCAACUGUUUAACUUCAAACUACUGUUUUUCCCAAAAAAUUUGUAUUUUAAGAAACUAUCGCUGUCCAUAGAUUGCGGCUAAAGAGAUAGGCAAUAGUAUAGCAAAUAAGAUUUAGAUAGAAUGGGAUCGCACUGAAGUCUAUCGACUAUCCGCAGCACUCAUACUAUCAAGCAACUAGUUGCUAUCUUACAUCUUCAUGAUGCCCAACCUAGCCUCAUCCGCCCGCGCCAUUUCGUAAAGGACGAAAGACGGCCCCACCGACGACAGGAGCUUGGGAUCCAGCUUGUCAUCAGGCCGUUGCUUGAGGAUGUAGCUGUAAUGAUGAAGCCCACCACCACAUACCAAUCGAAGGACACAUCAAGGAUGCUGAAUCCUAAACUCCUUGGGAACUUAUGCUGGUCGAGAACAUGCUCAUGGGUGCACUGAACACACACACGAGAUGAACACUCCCGGCAUGCUCCGCAGAUGGCCGACAGAGUCCUGGACGAAAUUUGGCAUUAUUUUGUCCUGUUUGGACACUUGCCGCCUGGUUGGGAUAACAAUCGUGGAAGCGGGAGUGGAUCACGAUGCAUGUGAAUCUGUUGAAAGCCGUUGGCGAUAUUCUUGUUGUAGAAAACAGGAAUAAUCACGUACAUUAAGGCACCACCGCCACCGUGCAGCCCAAGUUAAAGAAUGGUCAUAAUGGCAAUGGCCGAGAGCCGACUAGCCACAAGGAAAGUGUCAAUCGGUAUCCUUUUCAUUCUGUUCGUUAUCACCUGAAAAAACCUGGAAUUUAUAUUGCGGUUAUUAUUCACGUGGAGCCAAAUAU
rnacentral:sRNA from 15 species